UGCUGGUGUGGAUGAGUGGCGAACGGGUGAGUAAUACGUGAGUAACCUGCCCUUGACUCUGGGAUAAGCCCGGGAAACUGGGUCUAAUACUGGAUGCUACAUGUCACCGCAUGGUGGUGUGUGGAAAGGGUUUACUGGUCUUGGAUGGGCUCACGGCCUAUCAGCUUGUUGGUGAGGUAAUGGCUCACCAAGGCGACGACGGGUAGCCGGCCUGAGAGGGUGACCGGCCACACUGGGACUGAGACACGGCCCAGACUCCUACGGGAGGCAGCAGUGGGGAAUAUUGCACAAUGGGCGAAAGCCUGAUGCAGCGACGCCGCGUGAGGGAUGACGGCCUUCGGGUUGUAAACCUCUUUCAGCAGGGAAGAAGCCACAAGUGACGGUACCUGCAGAAGAAGCGCCGGCUAACUACGUGCCAGCAGCCGCGGUAAUACGUAGGGCGCAAGCGUUGUCCGGAAUUAUUGGGCGUAAAGAGCUCGUAGGCGGUUUGUCGCGUCUGCUGUGAAAGCCCGGGGCUUAACCCCGGGUGUGCAGUGGGUACGGGCAGACUAGAGUGCAGUAGGGGAGACUGGAAUUCCUGGUGUAGCGGUGGAAUGCGCAGAUAUCAGGAGGAACACCGAUGGCGAAGGCAGGUCUCUGGGCUGUUACUGACGCUGAGGAGCGAAAGCAUGGGGAGCGAACAGGAUUAGAUACCCUGGUAGUCCAUGCCGUAAACGUUGGGCACUAGGUGUGGGGGACAUUCCACGUUUUCCGCGCCGUAGCUAACGCAUUAAGUGCCCCGCCUGGGGAGUACGGCCGCAGGUAACUA
rnacentral:rRNA from 1 species